AAGGGAAGGGAAGAUGUUUUGAAUUCAUUUGACUCAGUUUCUCGCCUGCCAAGAAUCUCUUCCACGUGGUGAUGGCUCCUCACUCAUUUAGAGAUAAGAUGAUGUCAUCUUCCAAAUCAGAGUUGUCAGAGCUGUCGGCUGAAAGGAAGAAAACUGAAGUGGAUAAAGUAAAACCAAGAAAAGCAUGGCCGUGAUAAAAUGAAGUCCUGAAGCAGGUUUGCUAGCUCCUCAUCAGAGGGAGAAAAGUCAUUGUCGCCAUCCUCCCCUGCGUUCUCAUUGUUGUCAUCCUCCUCCAACUCCGCCUCCAGCAAUUGGUCAG